ensembl:miRNA oni-mir-10761 oni-mir-10761
UUGAAUUUGUUCUUGUUGAAUCUUGAGACUUUAAAUUUAAUUCAUGGUUAACUUUAGAAGAUGCAACAGGAUCAAAUUUGAAA